UUUAAUUCAGCCAAUGAGUAGCUGAUUUCUUUAAUCUAGUUGAAUAUUGGUUGAAGCUUUAGUUGUUUAAUGGGUUGUGAGACUUGAUCAAAUAUUAUUUAAUUUUUGGGAAUUCAAUAUUUAUGCAAUUUCAUAUUUAAUUUUCAUAUUAUUUUGUUAUUGAGAUCUACGUUGAUUCUUGAUUGCAAAAUAAUUAUUUGUUAGUUUGAAUAAUUUAAGU
rnacentral:lncRNA from 1 species